rnacentral:rRNA from 1 species
UACGGGGGGGGCAAGCGUUGUUCGGAAUUACUGGGCGUAAAGGGCUCGUAGGCGGCCAACUAAGUCAGACGUGAAAUCCCUCGGCUUAACCGGGGAACUGCGUCUGAUACUGGAUGGCUUGAGUUUGGGAGAGGGACGCGGAAUUCCAGGUGUAGCGGUGAAAUGCGUAGAUAUCAGGAGGAACACCGGCGGUGUAGACGGCUCUCUGGACCGUAACUGACGCUGAGACACGAAAGCGUGGGUAGCAAACAGG